AGUAACGCGUAAGAAUCUACCUUCAGGUCGGGGACAACCACUGGAAACGGUGGCUAAUACCGGAUAAUGUCUUCGGACCAAAGAUUUAUCGCCUUUAGAUGGGCCCGCGUUGGAUUAGCUAGUUGGUGGGGUAAAGGCCUACCAAGGCGACGAUCCAUAGCUGGUCUGAGAGGAUGAUCAGCCACACUGGGACUGAGACACGGCCCAGACUCCUACGGGAGGCAGCAGUGGGGAAUAUUGGACAAUGGGCGAAAGCCUGAUCCAGCAAUGCCGCGUGAGUGAUGAAGGCCUUAGGGUUGUAAAGCUCUUUUACCCGAGAUGAUAAUGACAGUAUCGGGAGAAUAAGCUCCGGCUAACUCCGUG
rnacentral:rRNA from 1 species